ensembl:snRNA U5 U5 spliceosomal RNA
AUACGCCGGUUACUCUUCAGCUCAUAUACAUCUUUUAUCUUUUGCUAAAGAUUUUCACGAAGGGGAACCACUGUGAGUCUUAACCCAAUGUUCUGAGGCCCUGUAUCUGCAGGGCU